rnacentral:misc_RNA from 1 species
AAACUGCGAUAAGUAGUGUGAAUUGCAUUUAGUGAAUCAUCGAAUCUUUGAACGCACCUUGCACUCACUGGUAUUCCGGUGAGUACGCCUGUUUCAGUAUCAUUGAAAACACACAAUCAAAACAUUUUCUUUGGUUUGAUUGGCUUUGUGUCUAUCAAAAAGUUUGGCUUGUUUCUUACAAACCAAGCGGCCUGAAAUAUAUUGUCUGGCUAAUUGCAUCGUUGAUGAUCGCUAUUAGACUUUGGCUUUUUUAAAUGAACUGGAGGUUGAUUAACCAGUUUUAGCUUUAGUCAAAUGGUCAUUGUAAAAAAAAUCUCGAUCUUGGCUAGGUGUUUAUAGCCGAAAAUUUUUUUUUGGCUAUAACCGAAACCAAUAUAAUCACAUUUAGUUAUCGAUCUGAAAUCAGGUGGGACUACCCGCUGAACUUAAGC